UACAGAGGGUGCGAGCGUUAAUCGGAAUUACUGGGCGUAAAGCGUGCGUAGACGGUAAUGUAAGUCAGAUGUGAAAGCCCCGGGCUCAACCUGGGAAUUGCAUUUGAGACUGCAUUGCUUGGGUGCGGAAGAGGGAAGCGGAAUUUCCGGUGUAGCGGUGAAAUGCGUAGAGAUCGGGGGGAACACCAGUGGCGAAGGCGGCCUUCUGGACCAAUACUGACGCUCAUGCACGAAAGCGUGGGGAGCAAACAGG
rnacentral:rRNA from 1 species